rnacentral:rRNA from 1 species
CGCAUGAUGCCUACGGGCCAAAGAGGGGGACCUUCGGGCCUCUCGCGUCAGGAUAUGCCUAGGUGGGAUUAGCUAGUUGGUGAGGUAAGGGCUCACCAAGGCGACGAUCCCUAGCUGGUCUGAGAGGAUGAUCAGCCACACUGGAACUGAGACACGGUCCAGACUCCUACGGGAGGCAGCAGUGGGGAAUAUUGCACAAUGGGCGCAAGCCUGAUGCAGCCAUGCCGCGUGUGUGAAGAAGGCCUUCGGGUUGUAAAGCACUUUCAGUCGUGAGGAAGGUAGUGUAGUUAAUAGCUGCAUUAUUUGACGUUAGCGACAGAAGAAGCACCGGCUAACUCCGUGCCAGCAGCCGCGGUAAUACGGAGGGUGCGAGCGUUAAUCGGAAUUACUGGGCGUAAAGCGCAUGCAGGUGGUUUGUUAAGUCAGAUGUGAAGGCCCGGGGCUCAACCUCGGAAUUGCAUUUGAAACUGGCAGACUAGAGUACUGUAGAGGGGGGUAGAAUUUCAGGUGUAGCGGUGAAAUGCGUAGAGAUCUGAAGGAAUACCGGUGGCGAAGGCGGCCCCCUGGACAGAUACUGACACUCAGAUGCGAAAGCGUGGGGAGCAAACAGGAUUAGAUACCCUGGUAGUCCACGCCGUAAACGAUGUCUACUUGGAGGUUGUGGCCUUGAGCCGUGGCUUUCGGAGCUAACGCGUUAAGUAGACCGCCUGGGGAGUACGGUCGCAAGAUUAAAACUCAAAUGAAUUGACGGGGGCCCGCACAAGCGGUGGAGCAUGUGGUUUAAUUCGAUGCAACGCGAAGAACCUUACCUACUCUUGACAUCCAGAGAACUUUCCAGAGAUGGAUUGGUGCCUUCGGGAACUCUGAGACAGGUGCUGCAUGGCUGUCGUCAGCUCGUGUUGUGAAAUGUUGGGUUAAGUCCCGCAACGAGCGCAACCCUUAUCCUUGUUUGCCAGCGAGUAAUGUCGGGAACUCCAGGGAGACUGCCGGUGAUAAACCGGAGGAAGGUGGGGACGACGUCAAGUCAUCAUGGCCCUUACGAGUAGGGCUACACACGUGCUACAAUGGCGCAUACAGAGGGCAGCCAACUUGCGAAAGUGAGCGAAUCCCAAAAAGUGCGUCGUAGUCCGGAUUGGAGUCUGCAACUCGACUCCAUGAAGUCGGAAUCGCUAGUAAUCGUGGAUCAGAAUGCCACGGUGAAUACGUUCCCGGGCCUUGUACUCACCGCCCGUC